GACGAACGCUGGCGGCGUGCUUAACACAUGCAAGUCGAACGGAAAGGCCCUGCUUUUGUGGGGUGCUCGAGUGGCGAACGGGUGAGUAACACGUGAGUAACCUGCCCUUGACUUUGGGAUAACUUCAGGAAACUGGGGCUAAUACCGGAUAGGAGCUCCUGCUGCAUGGUGGGGGGUGGAAAGUUUCGGCGGUUGGGGAUGGAUUCGCGGCUUAUCAGCUCGUUGGUGGGGUAGUGGCUUACCAAGGCUUUGACGGGUAGCCGGCCUGGGAGGGUGACCGGCCACAUUGGGACUGCGAUGCGGCCCAGACUCCUACGGGAGGCAGCAGUGGGGAAUAUUGCACAAUGGGCGCAAGCCUGAUGCAGCAACGCCGCGUGCGGGAUGACGGCCUUCGGGUUGUAAACCGCUUUCGCAUGUGACGAAGAGUGAGUGACGGUAAUGGGUAAAGAAGCACCGGCUAACUACGUG
rnacentral:rRNA from 1 species